CAUGUACUUUAUUGGACUUUUUCUUGCUAUAGCUUGUACAAGACUGCCACCUCCUGGAAAAGCUAAUGAAUAUUGAAGACUGAGGUGCAAUUAGAGAAUCAGUACUAUGAAAUUGCUUGCGUCUCAGCAGCAACUCCUUAACUGUCCUGAAGUUAAACCAAUUCGUAACCUUUCUCAACAUCUGUGAGCAGCUUUUUGCAUGAAACCAGGAUUUCAAACAACUUGCGCACCACAAUCUUUUUAAGUGAAAAUUCAAAUACAAGUUAACAUUGGCGGAACGUUAGGUGCCAAAGGCUUUAAUUCUUAAGUCUCACAACAGCCUUAUGAGGUAGGAACUAUUAUAAGCAGAUCCUCACUGCGGAUGAAGAAAUUAAGCUUUAAGGAACUUAGCGCGACGGACCUGAGAUGGAAUCGCCACCUGGAGCCCGAACUCUGUUGCUGAGAGCGCAAGCUCGGUAACUACGUAACCGCCUCGGGCAUGCGCAGAAAAACAUUGAAACGCCUUCCCUGGGAGCUGUUAGCAUGUGGGUGUGACGGGGGCCUCUACAAUCCCAGCAUUCCUUUCGUGCCGCCACCAAGAUGGCGGCGCCCAUCUUUCGGUGCUUUUCCUGGUUCCGGUGGUCUGGUACCCUAAAUCUCUCAGGAUUCUUGCCCCUGGGGCUACGUAAGGCCCACUCGGGCGCUGAUGGGUUACUGGCAGCGCAGAAGGCUCGGGGUCUGUUCAAGGACUUCUUCCCAGAGAGGGGGACGAAAAUAGAGCUCCCAGAGCUCUUCAACCGUGGCACGGCGAGUUUUCCCCAAACCAUUUACUGUGGUUUCGACCCCACGGCCGACUCGCUUCAUGUGGGUCAUCUGCUAGCGCUGCUGGGCCUGUUUCAUUUACAGCGAGCGGGCCACAACGUGAUCGCGCUGGUGGGAGGCGCCACGGCGCGCCUGGGAGACCCGAGCGGCCGGACCAAGGAGCGCGAAGCGCUGGAGAAAGAGAGCGUGCAAGCCAACGCGCGCGCCCUGCGCUUAGAGCUUGAGGCCCUAGCGGCAAAUCACCAGCAGCUUUUCUCUGAUGGGCGCCCCUGGGGCAGCUUCACCGUGCUGGACAACUCGGCCUGGUACCAGAAGCAGCACCUGGUGGACUUCCUGGCGGCAGUGGGGGGUCACUUCCGCAUGGGGACGCUGCUGAGCCGGCAGAGCGUGCAGAUGCGGCUCAAGAGCCCCGAGGGCAUGAGCUUGGCCGAGUUCUUUUACCAGGUGCUCCAGGCCUAUGACUUCUAUUACCUCUUCCAGCGUUAUGGAUGCAGGGUCCAGCUGGGCGGAUCUGAUCAGCUGGGCAACAUCAUGUCUGGAUAUGAGUUCAUCCACAAGUUGACUGGAGAAGAUGUAUUUGGAAUCACUGUUCCUCUAAUUACAAGUACAACUGGAGCAAAGCUGGGAAAGUCUGCUGGCAACGCUGUUUGGCUAAACAGAGAUAAGACAUCUCCAUUUGAAUUGUAUCAAUUCUUUGUCAGACAGCCAGACGAUUCAGUGGAAAGGUACCUGAAGCUGUUCACUUUUCUGCCCCUUCCAGAAAUUGAUCAUAUCAUGCACCUGCAUGUCAAAGAGCCAGAACGGCGGGGUCCUCAGAAACGACUGGCAGCAGAAGUAACAAAGCUUGUUCAUGGACGAGAAGGACUGGACUCUGCUAAAAGGUGUACACAAGCCCUUUAUCACAGUAGCAUAGAUGCACUGGAGGACAUGUCUGAUCAAGAGUUAAAAGAGCUGUUUAAAGAAGCUCCAUUUUCUGAAUUAGUUCUGGAUCCUGGAACAAGUGUUCUAGAUACCUGCCGCAAAGCAAAUGCCAUUCCAGAUGGUCCCCGAGGGUAUCGAAUGAUAACAGAAGGCGGAGUCAGCAUAAAUCACCAACAAGUAACAAAUCCUGAGAGCGUUUUAAUUGUUGGACAACAUAUUCUCAAGAAUGGACUUUCCUUACUUAAAAUAGGAAAAAGAAAUUUCUACAUUAUAAAAUGGCUUCAGUUAUGAUGAAAAAUCCUUCUGGUUAUUCAAAUACUUACCCAUCAUUUAUUCUCAAGACCUCUGAAGGGCUGGCUCCAGAACUUAGAUCUUUGCUUGUGGAAAUCAGAAAAACUGAAUGGAGUAUACACUAGGACUCAGUUUCGUGAGAGUGGAGAUCUGGAUGAUGAUGCUGAAGCUAUCCUUGCUGCAGUCUUUGAAAUUGGUCACUUUUUACAUGAGCGUAUAAUCCCAAGAUCAGUGUUAUACUUUACUAGAGAAGCUACUGAAGAUGAUGAUGAUGAUGAUGACGACGACGAUGAAGGUGAAAAAGCAGAUGAGAAAGGGGAAGAAGGAGAUGAAGAAAAUGAUCCAGACUCUGACCCGAAGAAGGAUCAAAAUGCAGCAGAGUGCAAACAGCAGUGAAGCAAGAAGUGUGCGGCCUUGAGGAUAACCUGCACUGUACUAGCCAAAACACAACUCUUAUUUACUUACAGCCUUUUGUAUUUUCUUGGUAGAUGAGGUAAUUUUAUUUUAAAGACAGGAAACUGAUAUUUUAAAGACCAAUUUGUUCUAAUUAGCAUUUUAACUAGUUUUUCUGCCAAAUAUGUUGAAUGCACAAAUUCUGUAACACAUGUUCAUUCAUCCCUGCAUAAUUUGGUUCUUCUGGAAUAUUUUUAUGUAGCUCUUAGAGUACAGCUAUGAAAAUGUCAAGUGUUAAAGGAAACCUUUUUUUUUUUUUUCUUCAUAAUUUUUUCCCUGAAGAACCAAAGUAUUUUUUCAGCUGGUUGUUGAAUACGAUUAAAUCCACUUGGAUUAGCUGUGCCUUUCAUUACUCUGUUACAGAAACACAGUGACUUAUAUAAGACAAUUCAUCGUUUUAAAAGAACUGGUAAGAUAACUAUAUGGUUAAGAAUUUCCAGUAUGAACACACCCAGUAACUGUAUUAGAUUGUUAAUGGAUUACUGUGUUAUAAGUGACAUAGUUAACUGUAAAGUAACCUGACUCAGUAUAGUUACUGGUACCACAGUGAGGUGAAUGAAACAGGAUUUUCAGAAGUUAGCCUGAAUUAAACUGUACUUUUAAAUUUCACCUCCAUUAACUAAGCAUCUUUUCUUUGUGGCAAUGUCUACCUUCUGCUUUCCCGGAAAGGAAGAAUUUAUAUCAUCUGACAAGCCUAUUUUCAAGUUAUUCAUUGUUUGCUUGUUUUUGGUUUUGCAGCCUAAAAUAAAAAUUUCAAAUACAA